AUUUCCCCCUCUCCCGAUAAUGUGCGAGGACUCUCUUCAUCUUCGGUGAUGACCUUCCACUCUUAUUCCAUCGACAGCUUUCAUCUCGACAGUCGCUCACCCUGUUCCAGCCCUCCAUCGACGACUUUCUUCUCAACCCCACUUUCUAACUCAAGGACACAGGAUGAGUCUCACAGUUCACUGAAACCGUAAGGUGUUUUAGCUGCCCAACCGAACAAUACCCAUCAUCAAAAGAAGCUCAGAUUUGGGUCCAAUGGUGGAAAUUUAGAAGACUCUGACUUGGGGAUAAGCAAAAGGGGUCUAAAACAGCUGCAUGAGA